rnacentral:rRNA from 2 species
UCGAGCGAACUGAUUAGAAGCUUGCUUCUAUGACGUUAGCGGCGGACGGGUGAGUAACACGUGGGCAACCUGCCUGUAAGACUGGGAUAACUUCGGGAAACCGAAGCUAAUACCGGAUAGGAUCUUCUCCUUCAUGGGAGAUGAUUGAAAGAUGGUUUCGGCUAUCACUUACAGAUGGGCCCGCGGUGCAUUAGCUAGUUGGUGAGGUAACGGCUCACCAAGGCAACGAUGCAUAGCCGACCUGAGAGGGUGAUCGGCCACACUGGGACUGAAACACGGCCCAAACUCCUACGGGAGGCAGCAGUAGGGAAUCUUCCGCAAUGGACGAAAGUCUGACGGAGCAACGCCGCGUGAGUGAUGAAGGCUUUCGGGUCGUAAAACUCUGUUGUUAGGGAAGAACAAGUACAAGAGUAACUGCUCGUACCUUGACGGUACCUAACCAAAAAGCCACGGCUAACUACGUGCCAGCAGCCGCGGUAAUACGUAGGUGGCAAGCGUUAUCCGGAAUUAUUGGGCGUAAAGCGCGCGCAGGCGGUUUCUUAAGUCUGAUGUGAAAGCCCACGGCUCAACCGUGGAGGGUCAUUGGAAACUGGGGAACUUGAGUGCAGAAGAGAAAAGCGGAAUUCCACGUGUAGCGGUGAAAUGCGUAGAGAUGUGGAGGAACACCAGUGGCGAAGGCGGCUUUUUGGUCUGUAACUGACGCUGAGGCGCGAAAGCGUGGGGAGCAAACAGGAUUAGAUACCCUGGUA